rnacentral:rRNA from 1 species
AUUGAACGCUGGCGGCAUGCUUUACACAUGCAAGUCGAACGGUAACAGGCCGCAAGGUGCUGACGAGUGGCGAACGGGUGAGUAAUGCAUCGGAACGUGCCCAGUCGUGGGGGAUAACGCAGCGAAAGCUGUGCUAAUACCGCAUACGAUCUAUGGAUGAAAGCAGGGGACCGUAAGGCCUCGCGCGAUUGGAGCGGCCGAUGUCAGAUUAGGUAGUUGGUGGGGUAAAGGCCUACCAAGCCGACGAUCUGUAGCUGGUCUGAGAGGACGACCGGCCACACUGGGACUGAGGCGCGGCCCAGACUCCUACGGGAGGCAGCAGUGGGGAAUUUUGGACAAUGAGCGCAAGCCUGAUCCAGCAAUGCCGCGUGCAGGAAGAAGGCCUUCGGGUUGUAAACUGCUUUUGUACGGAACGAAACGGUCUGGGUUAAUACCCUGGGCGAAUGACGGUACCGUAAGAAUAAGCACCGGCUAACUACGUGACAGCCGCCGCGGUAACAC